AUGAACGCUGGCGGCGUGCCUAAUACAUGCAAGUCGAGCGAACAGAUGAGGAGCUUGCUCCUCUGACGUUAGCGGCGGACGGGUGAGUAACACGUGGAUAACCUACCUAUAAGACUGGGAUAACUUCGGGAAACCGGAGCUAAUACCGGAUAAUAUAUUGAACCGCCUGGUUCAAUAGUGAAAGACGGUUUUGCUGUCACUUAUAGAUGGAUCCGCGCCGCAUUAGCUAGUUGGUAAGGUAACGGCUUACCAAGGCAACGAUGCGUAGCCGACCUGAGAGGGUGAUCGGCCACACUGGAACUGAGACACGGUCCAGACUCCUACGGGAGGCAGCAGUAGGGAAUCUUCCGCAAUGGGCGAAAGCCUGACGGAGCAACGCCGCGUGAGUGAUGAAGGUCUUCGGAUCGUAAAACUCUGUUAUUAGGGAAGAACAAAUGUGUAAGUAACUAUGCACGUCUUGACGGUACCUAAUCAGAAAGCCACGGCUAACUACGUG
rnacentral:rRNA from 1 species